UAUUUUACUAAAAGAGAGACUAAAUAGAUAUUUUACUAUAUCAUUGUAAUUUGCUGUGAAUGGUGUUUCAGUCUCUUGUCUCAACCAUUAUUUACAUUCUGAUAGGGGACAAAUAAGGUUCACAUUUCAAGAACAUUACAAAAAUAUAGUUGUACAAAUCACAUGUAAAUGAGAAAGCAUAAUAGAGUAGCUCCUAGGGAUUAAUUCAUGACAUCAACUUUGAUGCAAAAGUCUUAAGCCAAGAUAAGAAACACACCUUUCUCAGAUUUUACCUACAAGGUAGUUCCACACACAACAGACAGGUCUUCAAUUAAUUGUAAUAAUCAGAAAUCAAGGGUAGAAUAUACAAUAAUUUUAGUCCUUACCCUCAACUCAACUAACAUGUAUAGGGACUUACCAUUGCAGGCUCAACAUCAACACAGUCCACAUCAAAUGCUAACAAUGCCAACUUUAAAGAUGAUUCAACUGCAUCUAUAUCAUUCAGGGAUUAGUAAAAAAGUUAAAAAAGAAUGACUCAAAAACACAGAAUCAGCAUCUUCUUCACACAUUCACCACCAACUCCACCUUACCAAUACAAUUGUCAUCUGAAAAGAUAGACACAAUGUUACUACUAUAGACUGAUUGGAUUCUCAGCUAUUGAGAGGGGAUGAGAAUGUUGGCUAUGGAUAGAGGGGUGAAGAAAUG
rnacentral:lncRNA from 1 species